rnacentral:lncRNA from 1 species
CAUAUUCUGUUUUUACAUAAUACUAGCCAAAAUAUAUUUACACAGUAACAAAUAUUACCAAGAAACGUUGAUCCACAAUACUAGGAGAGCAAAGAAAAUAAGCUGAAAAUAUUUCAAGUUUACAUUCCACUGCAUAUAUUUAUAUAAAAAAAACGUGAAAAAGGACUAAAAUAUGCAUGAUACACAUGUACAUCAGUAUAUGAAGACGUGCCUAUGCUUAUUCAAGGAAUGGAUUCAUUUUCACCCUAGAAAGAUCAAUAAUUCUACAUGAAACAUCCAUUGUUUCUAUCUAUUGGACCACAAUAUCAGAUUAGCAGCACAAGCAAACAAAAAUAUAGAAAAAUGAGACUUACCUAACAGUAAAAAUAGGUGAAUCUGACAAUCCAAACAAAAACCAACCGGAAGUUGAUAUCCAAUGAACUAACAGUCAAAUUCAAUUCCCUUUGCACCUCAAUAGCAAAGAAAGUCAGCAAUUACACAUAUCUUGACUCCAAAAUUCGUCCAAGAAAGCAAUAACAAGUUGGACCCAGAACUGCAAACAAAACUUGACCAAACUGGAAACCUUCGACAUCAUUGAAAGCAAUAACAACUUGGACCCAGAACCGCAAACAAAACUCGACCAAACCGGAAACCUUCGACCGGAGACUGCGAAAUCGCUAAGGGAAACCUCAAACGGAACUCAUAACACCAACGACAACCUCAAGAGUGGUUUCAUGGCUGCACAAGUUGGUCAUUUAUAGAGGUUUUGAGACGAGGAGAGGCUGGCGAUGGAGAUUGGAGGAGAAGGAUGGUCGUUUGGGCUUGAAGAAAGAAAGAGAUAGCGAGUUCACUGUUGCGGGUGGCCUUCAGCUGGUUGUGACUUAUGGUUGUUGGUCGUUUGAGGGUUGUUGGGCUGCUGGACAGUGUUGGAGAAUGAGGAAGGUGACGGGUCUGCUGAGGUUGUUUUGGACGGUGACUGGAGGAGACUGGAGGAGUUCGUUCAAGGGUGAGAUUGUUGUUGGUUAUGAAGAAGACGAAGAAGAACAGUCCUCCCCCCUCCUUCUCUCCUCAAUGUGUAUAGUCUAUUUUAUUCAAAAAUCCCUCACCUUUUUUCCUUUUCAUUUGAUUAAGUCCCCUUUUCUUAGUAUCCAUCUGCCUCCUUUUAAAUCUAAGCAUGCAAAAAAAAAUAGUGUUCUUUCCCCCAUGCUUGUCAUUAUUGUAGUUCCCUUUUUUAAAAAAGAUUUUGACAAUCCGUGAAUCCCUCCCCCAAUUGUGUAAUUGUGUCUGUCGUGGUCUCGUGUUAUGUGUGGUGAGUUUAGAUUAUUAUGGAUUACAUCCGAAAAUUAAGCUUACAAAUGGGUAGUUUGAACCCAAAUAUUAUUUUUUACCUGGAACCGCGACUAAAACAUGAUCUUAUUUAAUUAAUUCUACGUAAGCAAAAUUACUAUCAAAAUAAGACUAACAAUUAAAACAAAACGAUUUUUGAUAUUUUUCAAGAUUUAAAAUAACUACAAAAAUAAAACAAUUUUUUUGUAAUAUUCGUUUUUAUAUAAAGGUAAAAUAUAAAGUACUAUUUUUUGUAUUUUUUAAGUUUAAAAUAACUACAAAACAUUAAUGAAACUAUAUAUUUUUUUGUAUUUUUGAAAUUGUACAAAAAUUAAAAACAAGGUGCUAUUUUUGUAUUUUUCAAGUUUAUGAGAAAUACAUAAACUAAAUUUUAUAUACCACUUUUUUUGUGAUUUAUCUUUUUGUAACGAAAUAAAGUAAAAGUGCCAAAAUUAGCUGAAAUUGUAAACAUUGAUAUUAGACUCAGAAAUCAUGGAAAAUAUAGAGAGAGAAACUAGAGAGAAGGAGGAGCAUUUGAGAACUCUCUAGAAUAGAGAGAGAAUUUAUUAAACAGAAAAUGAAAUGAAAUGAAGUCCCGGUACGUGAGAAAAUAUCUUCCCUACACUAUAUACAAGUUACAUACUAAAGGCCGGGUCGGGUGAUCCGGUCCAAAGUUAAAUAAUAGCCUGUGGGCUCAGAUACACGAUCAUCAUAGCCCAAUUACAAGAUAUACCAUGGAUAUACCGAAAAUGUACAAUGCAACUUGAGCAACAAUGGAUGAAGUAUGGUGCCUGGCAAAGGCUUGGUCAGAAGGUCAGCGAGCUGGCGAGUGGUAGGUACAUGGAACAGUUGAAUAAGGCCAUUCUGGAGCAGAUCGCGCACAAAAUGACAAUCCACUUCAAUGUAUUUAGUCCGUUCAUGAAAAACAGGAUUCUUGGUAAUGUGAAUGGCUGUCUGGCUGUCAAUACACAUAAAAAGGAAGAGAGACAGAAACACCAAGAUCAAGAAAUAAACGAGACAACCAAGACAGUUCAGCAACAACCUUACUUAGGGCCUUGUAUUCAGCCUCAGCAGAAGACAAAAAGUCCACUGGUUGCUUAUUAGAUUUCCAACUAAUCAAAGAACCACCCAGAAUAAUACAGAACCCAGUAACAGACCUCCUUAUAUCAGGGCAGGCAGCCCAGUCACUAUCAGAAUAACCAACAACAGUGAAAUCAUUGCAAUCAGAAUAAAAGAGGCCCAGAGAAGGGGUACCAAGGACCUCAAAUCCCUCCGAUGUGGGACAACUCAACACCCCCCUCACGCCCAGAUCUCUGGAGCGUGGAUUACAUAAAUGGGGGCCCAACAUCGGUAACAAUAAUUGGGAUGGGCCUGACUCUGAUACCAUGUAAACAUUGAGAUUAGACCGAGAAAUCAUGGAAAAUAUAGAGAGACAAACUAGAUAGAAGGAGGAGCGUUUGAGAACUCUCUAGAAUAGAGAGAGAAUUUAUUAAAUAAAAAAUGAAAAUGAAAUGAAGUCCGGGUAGGUGAGAAAAUAUCUCCCCUACACUAUAUACAAGUUACAUACUAACGGGUCGGGUCGGGUGAUCCGGCCCAAAGUUAAAUAAUAGCCUGUGGGCUCAGAUAAACAAUCAUCAUAGCCCAAUUACAAGAUAUACCAUAGAUAUACCAAAAAUAUACAAUGAGUAUACACAAAAUGUACAAGGCUAUACAAGGCUAUAUCAUGUGUUUUCUCCUAUCUCAACAUAGACCGAAACAUCUAGCCAAGAUAACAAGUACAAGUUACAUACUAACUGGUCGGAUCGGGUGAUCCGGCCCAAAGUUAAAUAAUAGCCUGUGGGCUCAGAUACACAAUCAUCUUAGCCCAAUUACAAGAUAUACCAUGGAUAUACCGAAAAUAUACAAUGAGUAUACAUAAAAUGUACAAGGCUAUACAAGGCUAUAUCAUGUAUUUUCUCUUAUCUCAACAGAAAUAGCUAUAUUAAGCGUAAAUUAAAUAUUUUAUGCUAAAAAUAUAAAAAAUCUCGGGGAGGGUCAAAAGUCACAUAUCUACAGCUGCCCCUCUUUGACUGGAAAUACGAAGAGUUUUCAGACAAAGAACGACUAUAUAUGUUUUCAGACCCGACCCUUAUUUGGAGAGACUAAACUAAAGGAGAGGGAGAAAAUGUGACCGAGCCCAGGUAUCUGAUCUGCCUACAUAUCCUUAGCUAUAAAGGAAUCAGGUCACAUGUAGUUCAGAAGUGAGUAAGAUGAUUGAGUAUACCGAUGUGGAGAGCCGAUCGAGGUUCCGUUCCGUCGAGGUUCCGGAUUGCGGUCCUGCUAUUACAUCAAAAAUCAAAACAUGAAAAAGACUAACUAAGUCUAUCAGCUACUAGUUACAAAGGUUCUUAUCUAUAUGUCUUCUGAAGCUUGAUAUUGAGUUUUGAAUGGUGCUUCAUGCGGACUUUAGAUUUGAAACUUGAUGCUUGUUAGGUGUAGGUGCUAGUUCAAUUUUCUUUAGCUUCUUCAAAAUCAAGACAGGACAUGCAAAUCUUGUGACUUUAACCAUGUCUUGAGCAUACUACAUCUUCUCCACUUCUGCACUUUGAAUUCACUUUUUUUUAUUCAUUUCUCGUUUUUCUUUUUCUUUAUUGUGACUGACUUUUGUUGAUCAUCUCAAUCUGUUGACUCGCAUUCUUGCCGCGAGCUUAUGCUACUUCUAACUUGUAUUGAAUGCUGGGGAUUUUUGUUGUAACCUUCCGCUCUCCGGGAGGGAUCCUACAAUCAAAAUAACCAAAACAAAUAAACUUUCCUACCCAAUUUGCGCUAUGAAGAUUUGUGAGUAGUUAGCAAAAUUGUAAACCACUUAUACUACUGAUGUAAUGAAGAGUGUAAACUAGACUAGGAUGUGUGUCUCCUAUGAGUAAAACCAAAAAACUCUGACUAGCAGGUGCGUCUGAUAACAUAAAACAUGAAUGAACCAAACCUAUGAAGUGCUUCUCCUAAUGAUGAAUUUAAAUGACCAAGACUAGGAACUGUGUCUCCUCGGGGUGAAAACUUCAAUGAAUAAAACUAGGAAGUGCAUCUCCUAGCGAUGAAAACUUCAACGACUAAAACUAGGAAAUGCGUCUCUAGGGGUGAAAACUUUAGUGACUAAAACUAGGAAGUGCGUCUCCGAUGGGUAAAACUUGAAAUAAAACUUUAAAAAGACAAUUUUGUCAGUUAAAAAAGGCGAUGAUAAGUUAUGAUACUCCUGUUGGGGAUGGUUUUUUUAUCUUAGGUAAAAAAUUCAUCAGACUAAGAUUUUCAUCGUAGGGGAAAGUUUGAGCAGACUAAGAUUUUUAUUUUAUCUUAGGUGAAAAAUUCAUCAGACAAAGAUUUUUUAUCUUAGGUGAAAGUUUCAAUAGACUAAGAUUUUUAUUUUAUCUUAGGUGAAAAAUUCAUCAAACUAAGAUUUUUUAUCUUAGGAGAAAAAAAACUUCAUCUGACUAAGAUUAUCUUGGGAGAAAAAUUCCAUCGGACCAAGAUUUUGACUCUAGGAGAUAAUCCCUCAGACUAGGUCCAUUUUUUGAAUCCAGACUUUCUUAAUUUUUUGCCAAAUUCAGACUUUUUUUUGUUUUCUUUUUUGUUUUUCAAAUUUAGAUUUUGUUUUUUCAAAUUCAGACUUCCUUUCUUUUUCUUUUUCUUUUUCUCAAAUUCUGCCGUCCCUUCUUUAAAAAUUACGCCUUCCUUUCUUUUUAAGUUAUCGUACGAGAAAAUUCAUUGGACUACAAAUUGUUAUAUAUUAGGAGAAAAUUCAUCUAACUAAGAGAGUUAUAUUAUCUUAGGAGGAAAAUUCCAUCGAACCAAUAUUUUAUCUUAUCUUGGGAGAAAAAUUCCAUCAGACCAAGAUUUUGACUCUAGGAGAUAAUUCAUCAGACUAGGUCCAUUUUGUUGUGAUCUAGGGAGAAAGAUUCAUCGGACUAAGAUUUAAUAUCUUAGGAGAAAAUUUCAUCGGACUAAGAAGAUCGGAACUAGGUCCAUUUUGUUGUGAUCUUAGGAGAAAGAUUCAUCUGACUAAGAUUUGAUAUCUUAGGAGAAAAUUUCAUCGGACUAAAAUUGUUAUAUCUUAUCUUGGGAGAAAAAUUCCAUCGGACCAAGAUUUUAUCUUAUCUUGGGAGAAAAAUUCCAUCAGACCAAGAUUUUUAUGUCUUACCUUGGGAGAAAAAUUCCACCAGAGCAAGAUUUUAUCUUAUCUUGGGAGAAAAAUUCCAACGGACCAAGAUUGUAUUAGGAGGGAAAUCCAUCAGACUAGGACUUUUUAUCCUAGGAGGAAAAUUUAAAGAUCAAAGAUUUGAGAAACUUACCUUUGUUAUAUCUUCUUUUCUUUUUUUUUUCCUUGCAUUGCUUUGUUCUGUUUCAACUCUCAAACAAAGAAAAAUUUAUCAGUUUUAAAAAUGGUGGCCGAUUUGUGGCCUUGCUGGGGAUGGCUUCCUCCUUUAAAAGCCAAUGUUGUCUUCCUUCGAGACUACUGGAUAACAUUGCUUGGGAAUUACUCACUUACCUGCUGGGGAUAAUAGUGCCGGGGAAUCUCCUUGUGUUGUCUUCCCCUGAAACUACUGGGAUAACAUUGCUGGGGAAUUACUUACUUGCCUGCUGGGGAUAAUACCGCUGGGGAAUCUCCUUUCGUCUCCUCUUUUCUCUCUUUUCUUUUCCAAAAUUAUUUUCUCUCAACACUGCUGGGAUAAAAGUGCUAUCAUUUGGGGAUAAAUUUGUUGACGAUAACGCAACUGGGGGGAAUUUUAUUCCUUCAAAAUCGGUGCUUCAUUCUUCUAGAAGUUGCCGAGGAUGGCGCUGGCCUUUUGCUUUUUCUGAGCACAAGUUUCAUCCUUUUGUUCGUGCCUCUGGGGAUACCACUUCCCUCAUUAAACUUGUUAUUCUAGGGAUAACACUGGUUCAAUGAUCUCUUAUUUUGAGAUUUGUAUUAUUUUCCUUUUUCCCCAAGUGGUUACCUGAUUUUUUCAGAAAUUUGCCAAAUGAAAGGAAAGUUUUCUGCCCCAGUUUGAUAAUCUUCCUCGUGUCAUGCCUUUCCGCCAUCAAUGUCAUUUUCUUUUACCUGCUUCCAAUCAAAGAAAAUUUAUUAGUUUUAAACUGGUGAGUGGUUGUGCCACUCCUGCUGGGGAUGGUUUUUCCCUUUCUCCUUCCCUGCUCUGCAUUCCAUUACACUAUCAAAACUUGCUGGGGAGGAUGUUAUGGUUGUGCCACUCCUGCUGGGGAUGCUUUUUCCCUUUCUCCUUCCAUGCUCUGCAUUCCAUUACUCUAUCAAAACUUGCUGGGGAAGAUGUCAUUUGCUGGCCUUAGCAUGACUUGCUUUGCCUUGCGUCGUCUGGCCAUCUUGAAACUUGGUCGAUAAUUUUCGACCAUCUUGAUGACUCCUUAUUCACAAGCCUUUCACCGUUGUUUUCCACUUGUAUCCUGACCACCCACAUUCAUAUGACGGUGAAUCCGCUUGAGGAUUUUGCAUGUUUUACUGAUGAACCACUUUCUUCGUUCAUCCGAUGUCACUAAAAUACCUUAACUGCUAGGGAUAUCCCUCUUCUUGAGGAUUUUGCAUGUUUACUGAUGAACCACUUUCUUCGUUUAUCCCAUGUCACUGAAAUACCUUUUCUGCUAGGGAUAUCCCUCUUCUUUUGUGGCAUAACUAGGGAACUGACAUUUCCCUCUGCCUUGGAGUCUCAUAUGAAUCUCCAAUUCAUGCCCAUCGUUUUCAACGUCGUUCUCCCUUGAUUUGUCCACUGGCCUUGGCCUUGAGGCUUAUAACCUUUGAUUCCCGCACGCUAUCUUUCUUGACACUGAUCCACCCCUUUGUCAAUCUCCUCUUGCUGGGGAUAUCCUUUUUAAUACUUGCCUUGUGUUUUUCAUUCCUGAAUUAUACCACUUGGAUGUACUAGUCAGAUCUCCUUUGCAUAAUUGGAAAGCUGAUGGCAGAUUGCGAAGUCAUUUCUCACUUGUUCUAACCAAACAGACUCUACUGAGGAAUUUUCUAUGAAAGGAGAAAGAUAAAAAGGAACAGAGUAAACGACAAAGGAAAGAGAUGACACUCUAACAAGAAAAACUAUAAAAUCAAAACCUAUCAAACGCGGAUACGGACUCUAAUGGUCAUGACAUACACAUGUGGCCUAUCCUCCGUCGGCAACCGUCUUUCAAGAUCUUCGUUUAGUGAUUCCCCGUCUAAUUCUUAACUUUAUUCGACUUGUAGUGCCCGAAGGUUUUCACUGUCAAGCCUCUCUCAUUUUGGCUUUUCUCUNNNNNNNNNNNNNNNNNNNNNNNNNNNNNNNNNNNNNNNNNNNNNNNNNNNNNNNNNNNNNNNNNNNNNNNNNNNNNNNNNNNNNNNNNNNNNNNNNNNNNNNNNNNNNNNNNNNNNNNNNNNNNNNNNNNNNNNNNNNNNNNNNNNNNNNNNNNNNNNNNNNNNNNNNNNNNNNNNNNNNNNNNNNNNNNNNNNNNNNNNNNNNNNNNNNNNNNNNNNNNNNNNNNNNNNNNNNNNNNNNNNNNNNCACCGUAAUGUGGGAUUUGGAUAGGCUAGAAAGAAAGGGUAUUUAAAGUCUAAAACAACACAUCAAUUUAGUUUAAAAAUACAACCUUCGAAACUAGAUUAUUUUAUAAUAAACAUAAUUUUUGCCCCAGUUUCUUUCUUGGGGAUUUUUGAUUUUUAUUUACACUAUGACUGAGCUGUGAGGCGCCUAUGUAUCCUCCUUGAGGAAUCAGGUCGAACGUAGUUCACAAUUCCUAUUUGUUUUUCUAGUUUUCCUUUUCGCUUAUUAUUUUUCUUAUCUUUCUUUUAUUUUUCUUUUCCUUUUCCUUUUCUCGUUUCUCUUUAGCUUUUUGUUUUCUGUUUUUGUUGUUUUCUCUUUUUCUUUCUCUUUCUUAUGUUUUUCUGUUUGUUUUUCUACCUUUUGCUAUUGAUUCCUAAAUAGGGGUAUGAAAGAAAAAAAAAUACGGCUCAAAGGGCUAAUGAAUGAUAAAGUGUUUAGGUAGCAAGACAAAAUACCUUCGUCAUUCCAAUCUUCAAAACAUACCAAGUGCAAACAACACGAUUAACAUUCGCCACAUAUUUAUAGCACUUUGGGGUAACACUCUCAUUUUCAUUACCGCGAACGACCCCCAUGUCAACAUGGCCAACUUGCCUUUACGGUUUACUUUACGUUUUACUUUCCCCAGUUUUGGGGCUACACUCUCAUUUUCAUCACCGCGACCGACCCCUAUGUCAACAUGGCCAACUUGCCUUUACGGUUUUCUUUACAUUUCACUUGCCCCAGUUUCUCAUGACUCGGGCUCCAAAUAAUCUCAAACCGUUCUUAUUUAUUUUAAAUAUCCCGAUCACCUCCCAAUGGUUUUAUGAUCAACUUUAAAGAUUAUGCCCAAAUUAUGCGCGCAUGUCAUGUCACUAGAAUCGGCGCUUGAACAAAACAAAACAAAAGGGUAAAAAGGACUAAAUAAAGAAGAUUACUGGAAGUAACAAAAGACCGGAAUUUAUAUUAGACAAAUGGUGAAACAGUUUAAAUAACAAAACAAGCAAAACAAACUGGAGUACAACCCUUAGAAUGAAAUUGAAACAAAAUGGACAACACUAAACAAACCACCAUUACUAAACAAACUAGACAAAAUGAAAGGACAAGAGGGUUUAAGUCGCAAGACAAUAUCUGGAUUACCACCCUUAAAAUAACCCGGGCAACAGAAAUGACAACAAAACGAACCACCAAAGCUCCACUUCGGCUAACCAGAAGAUGGAGCAUCUUUCCAAUUACCAAAUUCAGUUUCUUAGCCUUGAGUUCUGCAUCCACAAUGCCAGGAGCUUCACAAAAUAUUUCAGGACAAAUUAUGACCAUCAUGUCGGUCUCGUUAUGCGCAGGCGAUGGACUUUCGUUGGUGUCUACUGUGUUCGGAUUUUGGACGAUAAUGUCACCCGCAUCAAUAAGCUCCUUAUUUGCUUUCUUCAACCUCCAACACCUUUCUAUAUCAUGCCCUGAGGAAUCUAAGCAAUGUGCAUACCUUUGAGACAAAUCACCCUUCUCCGAUGGAUGUUUUGGCAUUUUUAUCUGGAUCAGCUUCAACAUGCCCAAUUGCUUCAACUCUUGGAACCAACUGGCAAAUGACUUUGCAAUAGGGGUGAAAGCCUUUCCUCGUUUCAGCAACCUCUCGCUCCUAAAUGCUUGAUUUGGCCUAAAAACUUACCCGGGCUAGUAUGCUCGUGGGGGUGGAUAGGCAUGUUGUGGAGCUGGGUACUUGGAGAGUGGAGCAUGUCUUUGGAAGUCCCUUGGAGAGAAGUAGCGGUUUGGAGAAUUACAAGGAUAUCCACGGGGUUGAUAAAUAGCUCGAGGGAAUUUGGCUAGGACGACCACUGGACCCUGUCAUUGGGGAGGUUCAACAACAUCUUUUCUUUUUAUGGGAAGGUUAUCUCGAACAACUUGCUCACUCCAUUUGAACCAGAACUUCCCAUAAUCUUUUUUAGGCUUCUCCUUAAUCUGAGAUAUGGAGGAAUGGUCGGGAGAUUCCAAGGUUCGAGUAAGGACACCAUUAGAGAAACCAAUCGGUGGCGAUACGGGUGCCUUCCCAGCUAUCCAUGCCUGAUACAUGUCUUCCACAUGUUGUCUCAACAUUUGUACCUCUUCUACCAACCCAAUAUCCUAUUCGACCAGCUACUUUCCGGCACCAGUAUCCGCCAACUCAGUUUUGUUGUUCUUGGCCAUCACCUUUUGACUCGUGUUGUAGAGGAGAUUUACCACUUUAAAACCACAACCAACCACCUUUCUUUAUGCUAUAAAAUAAAACAUGUUAGAAUGGACCCCAGUCGGUACUUAUUAUUAUCAACAUUUUUCCCUUUUUUCCCAUUAUUUUCUUAUAUACAGCUGUGGUCGAAUCUUAUGGAGAUUGCGUACGUAUCAUGACCCCGCAUGAAUCAGACCUUGCUUAGUUUGGGCCAAUAAAAGUUAAACAACAAUAAAAUAUAUAUAUUUUUUCAAUUUUCAUGAUAAAACAAACUGGGUUUCAAAGGUUUAGAGAUGACCUACAAACUCGAAAAUCAAACAACCCACAUAAUCUAAUCAAAAGAAUUGAAAACUCAAAAACAAACGGCCAACUUCCUUUCCCUAUUUACCACUUUUAACCAAAUGACUAUUUUUGGCAAACGUGGACCUUUCUCAAUUUCACAGGAAUUUAGAGGCCGGGAAGGAUUAUUUCAAAAAUAUGUCCGUUCUUUUAUGAAAAUAGCCUUUCGACAACUGAAAGAUACUCUAAGGCUAUCUCGGCAAGAACGGUUUAAUACACUGCUGAAGCUGGCUCGGCUUAUUUCGACCAGAAAUCCAAACGACAUCCACUUGCCCAAUAACUCUUUUUCUUUUCAAAUUAAAAUAAAAGACCAGGUUUUGCAAACACGGCCCUUCAGCACCCCAGGAUGAAGAUUUUAAGGUUGCGUAGCUAACCGGCCAAAAUCCUAAAAUAAUGAUAAAAGGUGGUUGUUAAUGCAAAGUUAGCUUUCCGGCAUCCCUUUCGAAAACAUUCGGCUAUGUUUUGACAAAAUGUUACCCCACUUAUUUAUGACUCCUUUUUUGUUUUUCUACAAUAAAAAUACAAAAUUCGAUAUUUGCAAACACGGCCUUUCAACGUCUCGGGGACGAAGCUUCUAAGGCUGUGUGGGUCAGUCACCAAAAAUCUAAAACUAUGACCGAAGGUGUCCGUUUAUGCAAAGUCAGCCUUCCGACACAUUCGGCUAUUUUAAACAAAAAAUGGCAUCACCCGACUCAUUUAUGACGACAAUUAAAUUUUUAAUUUUUUGGCUGUUCUAGCAAAGAGGGAGGUUGGACCCGAUGAGAGUUGCAUACAUUUCUCACACCCUGUAAGAAUUAAACCGGCGUAGUUCACCAAAUUAACUGAACUAUUUUAAAACAAGACUCUUUUUUUAUUUUAUUUUUGGCAGCAAAUAACAAAACCAUUUCAAAGCACGACUCUUUUUAUUUUUAUUUUUGGCAUUUCAUAAACAAAAUAAAAAACAAUUUUAAUAAACAAGACUCUUUUUUCAUUUUUAUUUUUCAGCAAACAAUUUUCCAAAAAUGAAAGACUUUUUUUUCUUCUAUUUUUCCCUUGCUUUUAGUAAAAUAGACUAUUAAAAAUAAAAUAUUUUCCUCUUUUUUUAAUUUUCAGAAUUUCGGCAGAGUUUCCCGAGUACUUUUCUAAAACUAAAUAAUUAACUCUCUACACUGCUAUUUCUCUCUUUUUCUCUUUUUUACAAUAUUACCGAUAUUCAAAACCGGUUAGCAUGCAAGUUUGAAACAAAUAAAUGCGUAAAACAAACAGGAUGCAGCAGGAUGGUCAUUUCACUUCAGGUUACUAGUCCUAGACGGACCCAACCCCUGUGUUGAGCCCCCUAAGUCUAAUGCACAUGAUGCAAAUAAACGUUCCUACUAGGGAUCCAACAUGAAGUUUUGUUAUACUAGGUUCAAACUUGGGUUUUUAUUCUAGACCUGGCUUACCCGAGCGGACAACUCGAGCCGAGGAUGGGAACUGCGUACUGGUAACCAAAAGAUCCUCCGAUUUUGCAACUCCACCGAAUCCUUGAUCUAUUUUGGGAUUGUGACACUAACAAAAAGAAGUCACGAACAGCGUGCACUCCUCAACAGAGAGAAGAGAGGGGUUUCGGCACAAUUUAUAUAUACAGUUCAAAUAAUAUCAAAGCGGCAAAAAACACCAUUUCGCACAUUAAGCACAGAUCAUAUAAAAUAUCAGAUAAUGAAUAAAACCAAACAAAACAAUUUAUUCUAAGCUCUAAUUUCUAUCCCUGAACCAAUGGUUCUGGGUCAUUGAGUCCCCAGCAGAGUCGCCAGAGCUGUCACACCUCCUUUUUCAGCCACCGCGGGGCGCAAGGGAGUUUUUUCAAUGAAAGGACAAUCGAAACGGGAUUUAUUAUUAAAGAUUCAGAGUCGCUACUUGAGAGAUUUAUGGUGUCCCAAGUCACCAGUUGAAUACCGAAUCGAGGAAAAUAUUGACUCUGUAUUACAGUCCGCGAACCAGAAAUCCAGAUAAGGACUAUUAACCCGGGAGAAGGUGUUAGGAAUUCCCGAGUUCCAUGGUUCUAGCAUUGUCACUCAACUGUCGUAUUCGGCUUAUUUAUCUGAUUUUAACAAUUAUGUACUUAGUGCAAGUCAAGGCUCUUUUACCGUUUUUAUUAUUGUUGUUGUCAUUUUGGAAAAGAAUUGCAACGUCGUGAAAACAUGUCUCAAACCACGUCACAACCAGUGUAUGCGUGGUCGUCGACACAUUUCGACUUCGUUGAGAUUUGGAUUUGGGUUGCAUAAAUGCAUGCCCAUAUUUUAGGAAGUAACUUUAUUAAAGACGCGCCCUAAGAGUCUAGCAUAGUAUAGUUUUGGGCGAGGCCGUGGACUUUUGUUUAAACGGCCCAUUUCGGUGUCUAAGCAAUUUUGCAUAACAAACAUGUAUAGAGGGCCCCGUAAUUUGCAAUUUAUUGGGCGAGACUCGUCUCAUUUUACUAUUUGAAAGGCAAACCUAAUGCAACUACAAUAUCUUUUUUUACUUUGCGAGGGCCAUGAAAAAUUCAACUAAUGCCACGUCCCGGUUUCUAUGUGGUUAAAAUUAAUUAAGUGAGGGCCAUGAGUUUUCGAAUAAAUUGAUAUGGAAUCAAUAUAUUGUUUUACAUUAUCAAUUUGCAUAUUCUGUUUUUACAUAAUACUAGCCAAAAUAUAUUUUCACAGUAACAAAUAUUAGCAAGGAACAUUGAUCCACAUUACUAGGAGAGCUAAGAAAAUAAGCUGAAAAUAUUUCAAGUUUACACGCAACUGCAUAUAUUUUAUAUAAAAAAACGUGAAAAAAGGGACUAAAAUAUGCAUGAUACACAUGUACAUCAGUAUAUGAAGACGUGCCUAUGCGUAUUCAAGGCAUGGAUUUACAUGCCACUGCAUAUAUUUAUAUUAAAAACGUGAAAAAGGGACUAAAAUAUGCAUGAUACACAUGUACAUCAGUAUAUGAAGACGUGCCUAUGCUUAUUCAAGGAAUGGAUUCAUUUUCAUCCUAGAAAGAUCAAUAAUUCUACAUGACACAUCCAUUUUUUCUAUCUAUUGGACCACAAUAUCAGAUUAGCAGCACAAAUGAAACAAAAAUAUAGAGAAAUGAGAGACUUACCUAACAGUAAAAAUAGGUGAAUCUGACGAUCCAAACAAAAACCAACUGGAAGUUUAUAUCCAAUGAACUAGCUGCCAAAUUCAGUUCCCUUUGCACCUCAAUA